ensembl:lincRNA
AUGUGCAGUCCCAUCUCUCCCAAAGAUCCCAGGCCAGCCGGAGCUGAAUGCAAGAACUAUUUAAGAAGCCUCAGCUCCUCUUCACUCCCAGGGACAAUGGCUGGAGGAAGAAAUGAGAGGAUCUCCAUACCCAGGCCUUGGCUUCUACGUCCCUUCUCGAAGUGGUUGAAGUGCAGAUUUCUGAUUCUGUACCCAGCCUCCAUGGACACAGUACACAGUAUGCUGGGAAUGGUGGUGGGUGUUUGAGGUACAUUACUUCCAGACAAAACAUGGCUGCAGAGGGAUACCAAAAGCAUCUUCUGGUGGCUGAAGCCCUGUCUGCACAAGUGUCUGUGUUCUUCAAUGGUUCAGGCAAGCUCAGACAGACCCUCUGCUUCUCUUAACCUGAGACACUAGUUUUCCCAAGAACUUUGAGCUGAAGGUUCCUUGCUGUGUCCCCUACCUGGCUGUGAGGACUUUGAGUAUAAUUAUCCUAUCUUAUUUGUUGCUGUGCUCCCAGUGUCUUGGAUGGAGCCUGACAUCUAGUCAGUGUUAGUAAAUGUUGAUGUGUAUUGAAUUUUACAAGGAUCUGCAGCCCUGAGAAGAGGGGAUACUUCUUGGAAACCGCUGUGGGCUAAAUUGAGGGUUAAGGACUGGGACUGGAAGGCAGAGAUUCCAGAGUGAUAACCACAGUAGUUACUAUUUCAUGAGAGCCUCCAUGUGCCAGCCUCUAAGCUAGGCCCAUAACAUGCAUUACCUCUUGUCCCCACUUUACAGAAACUAAGGCUUAGACAAGUUAAGCAACUUGCUAAAGAUCAAACAACUCAAUAUGUGUUGGAGUCAAAUGAAUGCAUUUCUUUUCCAUUUCCCUCAUUUACUCCACUAAUGACAGUACUUAAAUUGUAGACUAGGAAUUAAAAUAGUAGAAGCCUGACUUGAGAGGGCAGAGCCCCUGCGUUUGAAUGCCUGAAAGUCAGUCAUGGGUAGAAAGAACAGUCUUGUAGCAGAGCUCCGGGCGAGGGAGGAGCCGUGAGCAGGUGGACAUGAACUCAUGGUGACAACUCUCCAACAGUGAAAGCAGGUUCCCAUGGAAUCCAGGGAAAUUACUGAAUAACUUUCAACACAAAAAUGUGUGCUAGUGAGCUGUAGAGCCUUUAUAUCCCCCCAAAACAUAUUAUGGGGGUGGAGGGGGGCGGAAUUCUGAAUUUUUGUUGUCGUUGUUGUUGUUGUUGAGACAGAGUUUUGCUGUUGUUGCCCAGGCUGGAGUGCAAUGGCACAAUCUUGGCUCUCCACAACCUCCGCCUCCCGGAUUCAAGCGAUUCUCCUGCCCCAGCCUCCAGAGUAGCUGCUGGGAUUAUAGACAUGCGCCACCACGCCUGGCUAAUUUUGUAUUUUUAGUAGAGAUAGGGUUUCUGCAUGUUGAUCAGGCUGGUCUCGAACUCCUGACCUCAGGUGAUCCACCCGCCUUGGCCUCCCAAAGUGCUGGGAUUACAGGUGUGUGCCACGGCGCCCGGCCUAAGUAAAUAGUUUGGAAAGCUGCAUCCAAUAGUCUCUUUUGAAGAUUCACAAUGCACCCUAGCUUGUUAACUAUUCCAAGAAGUCCCGGGAAAAGAAUGCUUGUUUGACUUUCUUGAAUCCAGUGUUGCCCAUGUUUAUUUGACUAGUGAGCAGGUUUUUUUGUUUGUUUGUUCGUUUUUUAAGUGACACUUUUUAACACUCUGAGGCAGUAAUAUUGUACUGAACACAUGGGGAAUCUUCUGUGGAAGUUUGGCCUGGAAUACAUCCUCUGUGUUCCUUCUCGCCCCGUGGCUGAGUCAGUGUGCUGUAAAAGCUUAGUGACAGAAAAGCCCCACUUAGCCUAUUUGUAAUGAUUUCCUAAACCGGGCAAAUAACUCAUCUGAAUGGCUGAGGUGAUAAACUCACAGGAGGAGAAGAUGCUGGAGGAAGUGUCAUGUGUCCUGCAUGUAGGUACCACUUCACCUCCCAGCAAGGCGAUGCUGAUAGCAACGUUUUCCUUGGGUGUUGAAUUUUCCAUCCUGCAAUUACGUCUUAAGCCAUAGAUAAAAUUCACAUCCACGUUUCACUCAAGAUAAACCUAACAUCAUAAUAAUACAGAAGAUUAAUUCAUUGGGGAAAAAUAGAAGAAAAUUGGUCUUGGCUUAAAGAGAAGUCAACAUUUAGAAUGUGUAGAAGGGGAUUUCUUCUGGAUCACACUCUGUCCUCAACAGUGGCAUGUGAAAAUGUAUGUGGUUCGCUUUAGUGCAUGCAUGUUUGUGCCUGUCCCACUGACACAUCCACAGUGUGACCCAUAGAGGUCCACUUCUAAGACCCCUAACUCUGAGUCCAACCCACCCUUUUGGGCUCACUGCAGUCAUUUCUCUCUGAAGUCUUCCUUGACAACCUAGGCAUCAUCAGUUUUUCUCUUCUCUGAUCAUCUUAGCAAGUGUAUCCAUAAGCUAUAAUCACAAUCAUGCUGCAUAACAAAACCAAAAACUCAAUGGCCAAUAACAAUGAACAUUAAUUUUUUGUUUUCAUGUCUAGAGGCCAGGUGGGGGGUGGCUGAUCUAAGCUGGGUUUUGCUCUAGGUUAGAUUUGGUCUAGGUUGGCCUCACAUGUCUCUCAUUCUUCAGGUGUCAGGAGGCCACCAUGGGCCUGAUCUUCAGGACAGAUGCCUCUUAAGACUUGGGCUUUGACUCAUACACUGUUACUGCCACCCAUGUCCUGUUGGCCAAAGUCAAUUUCAUUACCAAGCCCAAGAUCUGUGGAGUGGAGAAAUGCAUUUUGAAGGGGAGGGAGUCAAUAUGUAAUGAGCACCAUGAUAUACCAUAGAGCAUUUGUAGUCAUGAGCCUGAUUUAGAUGCUUGGUGGGGUAUCUCUGUGCUCUUAGGAAUUGUGUCUCUGUGUCUGUCAGAGGUGAUAACAUUGUAGCUGAGCCUUAAAAAAUAAAAGUUUCCUCAAACACCUCUGUGACUUCUGUGAUGCCUUCUGUUCACCACUCACAGUAGCACUGAAGGAAGAAAAGUAGUAACAUGUGAAGUGCAUAGGCAGCCCAGGGAGUCAUGCAUCCUAGUUCUGCA